UAAGACGAACCGUGCGAACGUUAUUCGGAAUCACUGGGCUUAAAGCGCGUGUAGGCGGGACGGCACGUCGGUCGCUGAAAUCCCCCGGCUCAACCGGGGAAGUGGCACCGAUACGACCGUCCUGGAGGGGGGUAGGGGGCGCUGGAACUCACGGUGGAGCGGUGAAAUGCGUUGAGAUCGUGAGGAACGCCCGCGGCGAAAGCGAGCGCCUGGACCCUUUCUGACGCUGAGACGCGAAAGCCAGGGGAGCGAACGGGAUUAGAUACCCCGGUAGUCCUGGCCGUAAACGAUGGGCACUGGGUAGGGGGCUCGCCGAUGGGCUCCCUGCCGCAGGGAAACCGUGAAGUGCCCCGCCUGGGGAGUAUGGUCGCAAGGCUG
rnacentral:rRNA from 1 species